rnacentral:rRNA from 1 species
CUUCUCUUGCGUUUUACCACAAACACUUCAGUUAUAGAAUGUUUACUGUGUAUAACACAAUUAUAUACAACUUUCAGCAACGGAUCUCUUGGCUCUCGCAUCGAUGAAGAACGCAGCGAAAUGCGAUAAGUAAUGUGAAUUGCAGAAUUCAGUGAAUCAUCGAAUCUUUGAACGCACCUUGCACUCCUUGGUAUUCCGAGGAGUAUGCCUGUUUGAGUCUCAUGGUAUUCUCAACCCCUAAAUUUUUCUAGUGAAGAUUUGGUGGGCUUGGACUUGGAGGUUGUGUUGGCUCUCGCUAGUCGACUCCUCUGAAAUACAUUAGUGUGAACCUUACGGAUCGCCUUCAGUGUGAUAAUUAUCUGCGCUGUGGUGGUGAAGUAUUUAUUGUAUUCACGCUUCUAACCGUCUCUCCUUCGAGACAAAUACUUUGACAAUCUGAGCUCAAAUCAGGUAGGAUUACCCGCUGAACUUAAGCAUAUCAAUAAGCGGAGGAAAAGAAACUAACAAGGAUUCCCCUAGUAACUGCGAGUGAAGCGGGAAAAGCUCAAAUUUAAAAUCUGGCGGCUUUGGUCGU